ACUCCUACGGGAGGCAGCAGUUAAGAAUCUUGCGCAAUGGGCGAAAGCCUGACGCAGCAACGCCGCGUGGGGGACGAAGGCCCCCGGGUUGUAAACCCCUUUUACGAGGGAAGAAGUUCUGACGGUACCUCGUGAAUAAGCCACGGCUAACUACGUGCCAGCAGCCGCGGUAAUA
rnacentral:rRNA from 1 species